CCUACGGGAGGCUGCAGUGGGGAAUAUUGCACAAUGGGCGCAAGCCUGAUGCAGCCAUGCCGCGUGUGUGAAGAAGGCCUUCGGGUUGUAAAGCACUUUCAGCGGGGAGGAAGGCGUUAAGGUUAAUAACCUUGUCGAUUGACGUUACCCGCAGAAGAAGCACCGGCUAACUCCGUGCCAGCAGCCGCGGUAAUACGGCGGGUGCAAGCGUUAAUCGGAAUUACUGGGCGUAAAGCGCACGCAGGCGGUCUGUCAAGUCGGAUGUGAAAUCCCCGGGCUCAACCUGGGAACUGCAUUCGAAACUGGCAGGCUAGAGGCUUGUAGAGGGGGGUAGAAUUCCAGGUGUAGCGGUGAAAUGCGUAGAGAUCUGGAGGAAUACCGGUGGCGAGGGCGGCCCCCUGGACAAAGACUGACGCUCAGGUGCGAAAGCGUGGGGAGCAAACAGGAUUAGAUACCCCAGUAGUC
rnacentral:rRNA from 1 species